GACGAACGCUGGCGGCGUGCUUAACACAUGCAAGUGGAGCGACGAACCAGGGCUUGCCCUGGGGCAGAGCCGCGAACGGGUGAGUAACACGUGGGUAACGUGCCCCGAUGAUCGGGACAACCCGGGGAAACCCGGGCUAAUACCGAAUGUGCUCCCCUCACACCAGUGAGGGAUGGAAAGGAAGCUUCGGCCUCCGCAUCGGGAUCGGCCCGCGGCCCAUUAGCUUGUUGGUGAGGUAACGGCUCACCAAGGCUGCGAUGGGUAGCUGGUCUGAGAGGACGAUCAGCCACACUGGGACUGAGACACGGCCCAGACUCCUACGGGAGGCAGCAGUGGGGAAUCUUGCGCAAUGCGCGAAAGCGUGACGCAGCAACG
rnacentral:rRNA from 1 species